rnacentral:rRNA from 1 species
CAGGAUGAGCCCAGCGCUGAAUCUCUUUGCUGUAAUGGUGAAGCGAACUGUAGCGUAUAGAGGYGAUUUUUUGCGGUUGCGUKCGGCUUAAGUUCCCCUUGACUGGGGUUCCAUAGAAGGUGUUAGGCCUGUUAAGCUGUGCAGCGUCCGUGAAUGAUCGUUUCUGGGAGUCGGGUUGUUUGGAAACACAGCCCUAAGCAGGUGGUAUACUCCAUCUAAGGCUAAAUAUUGCCAUAAGUCCGAUAGCGAACAAGUACUGUGAAGGAAAGUUGCAAAGAACUCUGAAGAGAGAGUUAAAAAGGACGUGAAACUGAUAAGGUGUAAGCGGAUAGAGUUGACGAACUAUACUCGUAAUCAGCCGGUUGGCUUGUGUGCGAUGUUCGAAUGUGUCGCCUUUCGGGGUGGAUGUUCGGAUAUGCGGUACGCGGUUGGCCGGUGCACUUGCGAGUGGUGCGCUGAUGCGAACGAUUGAGCCGCGGGAAACGCAUUAAGAGGGCACUUCGGUGUGUACUUGGUGCGUGAAUAACGGUUUCCCGAUUGUUCGGAUUUUGCGAGUGCUAACGGCCGUUGGUGGUUGCGUCGACGAGGUUUCGUGGGGAUCGCGUGCGAUUUCGCUUAAUUUCGGCGGCGUAACUGUUCGCGAAUGUUGGCACUUCAUCGGUGUAAAAGUCCACCACCUAUUCGUCCCGUCUUGAAACACGGACCAAGGAGUUUAACGUAUGCGCAAGUCAUUGGGUGUUCAAAACCUAAAGGCGUAAUGAAAGUAAAGGCUUCCGUUGGGUUGCUGAUAUGUGAUUUGUGUUUGCCACGGCAGCGCAAAGCAGCAUAGUCCAGUCUAAAUCGCUUGCGAUUGGGCUGAGAUAGAGCGUAUGCGUUGAGACCCGAAAGAUGGUGAACUAUGCCUGAGCAGGAUGAAGCCGGAGGAAACUCUGGUGGAAGUCCGAAGCGGUUCUGACGUGCAAAUCGAUCGUCUGACUUGGGUAUAGGGGCGAAAGACUAAUCGAACCAUCUAGUAGCUGGUUCCCUCUGAAGUUUCCCUCAGGAUAGCUUCGAUCAGUUUAUAAACAGUUAUACUCGGUAAAGCGAACGAUUAGAGGUCUUGGGGACGAAAUGUUCUCAACCUAUUCUCAAACUCUUAAUGGGUAUGAUGUAGCAGUUGCCUAACGGAACUGUUGCGUUGAAUGUUGGUCGAAAGUGGGCCAUUUUUGGUAAGCAGAACUGGCGCUGCGGGAUGAACCGAACGCGGAGUUAAGGUGCCUAACUUUUCGCUCAUGAGACCCCAUAAAAGGUGUUGGUUGAUAUUGACAGCAGGACGGUGGACAUGGAAGUUGUAAACCGCUAAGGAGUGUGUAACAACUCACCUGCCGAAUCAACUAGCCCUGAAAAUGGAUGGCGCUCUAGCGAGAGACCUAUACUUCGCCGUUACUGGCUUGCUCGAAACAGGCCGUAACGUGUAAGAGGGUCGCAGCGGUGCGCGUUGAAGGUUUAAGGCGUGAGCCUGACUGGAGCCACCGUUGGUGCAGAUCUUGGUGGUAGUAGCAAAUAUUCAAGUGAGAUCCUUGAAGACUGAAGUGAAAAAGGUUUCCACGUGAACAGCAGUUGAAUGUGGGUCAGUCGGUCCUAAGCAUACGGCGCUAGCCGUCACGAAAUAUGAGCGUUCAACUAUUUUCGAAUGGUACCUCAUUUUAUGCGAAAGGGAAGCAGGUUAAUAUUCCUGCACUAUACUUGGAGAUGUUCACUCCUUGUGAGUGUUCUGGGGCGGUAACGCAAAUGAACUCGCUAACGUUGCUGGAGGUUCGGGCCAGAGUUCUCUUUUCUGGUUUAGAAAUUGUGUCCAUGGAAUGGGUUCAGCCCGAGAUAUGGAUGUUGGUUUCGUAGAGCGCCGCGGUUCCUGCGGUGUCCCGAGUGCUUCCAGUGACCCUUGAAAAAGCGAGGGAACCCGAAUGAAUUUCAAGUAUAUCCGUACCGAAUCCGCAUCAGGUUUUCAAGGUGAACAGCCUCUAGUCGAUAGAAUAAUGUAGGUAAGGGAAGUCGGCAAAUUAGAUCCGUAACUUCGGGAAAAGGAUUAGCUCUAAGGAUUGGGUUGGACGGGCGGUUGCGCAAAACUUGGCCGACCGUGGUCAUGGCUGCGGGAUGCUUCGGCUGAACGCGGACUAGUGCUGCGGUUGCUUUGUGGAGUGCUUCAGCUUCGGUGCAAGUCUCGGCUUGUUCUCACGUCCAACAAUUAACAAUCGACUUAGAACUGACACGGACACGGGGAAUCCGACUGUCUAAUUAAAACAGAGCAGAUGGAUGGCGUUUGUAUGCGUUGACCAUCUGUGAUUUCUGCCCAGUGCUCUGAAUGUUAACUUAAGGAAACUUAAUUAAGCGCGGGUAAACGGCGGGAGUAACUAUGACUCUCUUAAGGUAGCCAAAUGCCUCGUCAUCUAAUUAGUGACGUGCACGAAUGGAUUAACGAGAUUCCCACUGUCCCUAUCUACUAUCUAGCGAAACCACAGCCAAGGGAACGGGCUUGGAAAACAUAGCGGGGAAAGAAGACCCUGUUGAGCUUGACUCUAGUCUGACUUUGUGAAGAAACAUGAGAGGUGUAGUAUAAGGGGGAGACUUCGGUCACCAGUGAAAUACCCCUACUUUCAUCGUUUCCUUACUUAUUUGGUUGAACGGUGAUUGGACGCAAGUCCUUUGUUUUGGAAUUAAGCCGGUGUACUUGGUACGCCGGUGAACCGCACUGAUGACAUUGUCAGGCGGGGAGUUUGACUGGGGCGGUACAUCUAUCAAAUCGUAACGUAGGUGUCCUAAGGUGAACUCAGAGAGGACGGAAACCUCUCGUUGACUAAAAGGAGAAAAGUUCACUUGAUUUUGAUUCUCAGUACGAAUACAGACCGCGAAAGCGUGGCCUAUCGAUCCUUUUGGAUUAUGGAGUAUAUAACAAGAGGUGUCAGAAAAGUUACCACAGGGAUAACUGGCUUGUGGCAGCCAAGCGUCCAUAGCGACGUUGCUUUUUGAUCCUUCGAUGU